GAAAUCCUGGUUUAGCCAAGGAAGCUACAUUAAUCGCAAUCUGUAUGUGACCGAACACGUAGAUUGCUGGAAGCACUGGGACAAUCUCUAUAAAGAGAAUCUAGAAGCUUGUGUUGCUCUUCUUAAAGAGCUUGUAGAGAAUUGGAAGGAAUAUUCCCCCAAACUAGCAUCAUCAAGCAAGGGAAUGAAUCAUGUCAGUCGACAUAUAUUCACUCUUUCUUUGAAACUAGCUGAAGAAGCCAUUAUUUCAGGAAAUCUUGUUGUAGCCAAGGAAGCUACAGCGAUCGCUAUCUGAGGAUCUGACUAAAACCGGAGAAUGCUGGGGAUAAGAAUCUAGAAGCUAAUGUUGCUCUUCUUAAAGAGCUUAUAGAGAAUUGGAAGGAAUAUUCCCCCAAACUAGCAAGACAUGGUCAUGCACUAUCAUUGCAAGUAGAUAUCCACACUGAAUGCAUAUUCUCUAUUUCCUUAAGAUUAGCUGGAGAAGGAAAUCUUGUUUUAGCCAAGGAAGCUACAGCGAUCGCUAUCUGGUCUCUAACCGAAAACGGAGAUUGCUGGAACAAUCUCUAUGAGGAGAAUCUAGAAACUGGUGUUGCUCUUCUUAGAGAGCUUGUAAACGAGUGGAAGGAUCAUUCCCUCAAACUACUAUCACCACCGAGUGUUGGUUUCACUCUCAGUCGAACUAUGAAGAGCUUGAGGCUAAAAGUAAUGCCCCUUAGCUAAUCUUAUUACACCCUCCAUUUAGUUGUAAUUUAGUAUCUCUGAUAUAACCAGUGAUUGUUCUUAGAACAAAAAAAACUAUCAUUGAAGGAGGAACCAACUCUUCUCUUCACGAAGAAGCUGACGAGUACUGCAAAGUGAUCUUGGGAAGACUUUGCCGUGGGACUGGCUGGCUUUACUGCUGUGGUUUUAGCUGCGGCAGUUGUUCUAGCUUUGCUGAACAAGCUCCUAAACUAAUUGGAUAUGCACCUAUAUACUUCAUUGCAAAGAGUUGUUGUGGAUAAAUUUAAAUUUCAACGAUCACUUUGAUUAUAGUUUUUCACGAUAUUUUUGAAAUAUUUGCAUGAACCGGAAGGACACCCCCAAUCCAAAGAGAAGCAAGUCUCUCUAUCGGAUGUUAUCAUGAAAAUCUUUCAACGGUAAGCAAAAAAAAAAUCCAGUUUCUAUCUAAACGUACGGGGAGAUAUAUUGAUCGGGCUUAUUUCAGCAGUUUUGUUUCUUGAUUCCUCACCAACUUUGGCUUUUAUAGGAUUCUCUGAAGUUGGGAAUGUUUUAAGAUGUGGAUUCUUUCUUGCAAGGAAUCUUGAAACAAAUACAUGAAACCAUUCAAAGCGGACAACAGAAAAAAAAAAGCUCAAUUACAUGUUAAUGGUUUAGCAUGAUCUUAUUUAGUAUGACGGUUCAAAGCCUAAAUCUAUGGACUACGUUUUGUAUAAUUCAAAGACUUUAACUUUCUCGUUAAUUAA